rnacentral:rRNA from 1 species
UACGUAGGAUGCGAGCGUUAUCCGGAUUUAUUGGGUUUAAAGGGUGCGUAGGCGGAUCGUUAAGUCAGUGGUCAAAUUGAGGGGCUCAACCCCUUCCCGCCAUUGAAACUGGCGAUCUUGAGUGGAAGAGAAGUAUGCGGAAUGCGUGGUGUAGCGGUGAAAUGCAUAGAUAUCACGCAGGACCCCGAUUGCGAAGGCAGCAUGCCGGCUUCCUACUGACGCUGAAGCACGAAAGCGUGGGGAUCGAACAGG